GCGUCUUUGGUGUAACGGUAACACACUAUCAAAUAGUACAGAGUUUGAAGUACAGUUAAGGUGGAAUCCGGGGUUCGAUCCCCCGAGGACGCA